UGUUGUAGAGUGUCUCUAUAGGUUUUUAGUGCUUGCGCUGCCGCUUAACUCCACCAUAUUGCCUAUGACGUUCCUCUUGCGUCCUCUAAGUCCCCUGCGUGCCUCAAGUACAAAUGACGACUGGUUGACGAAUGCUUAUACGUCUUGAAGUCUUGUUAAGUACGAACCCGUACUUAUUGCUGCUUCUACGGGAUAUAACCGGGCAGGUAUGAAGAUAUGUUCGAUGAAGACGACGUUAGCAAGGUUACCCCUCCGGCUUGGCCUGGGCAGGGUUAUGGACGCCACUUGUUAUCUUCAGGACUCUUAGUCCAAUUUGUAUCUUGUCCGUACUCGGACGUAUUCGAUCUUCUGUAUGAUUUGGAUCUUUGUAUUGUAUAUUUGUAUCUUGACUCGUUGGAGUCGUUGUUAUAAUAUAUGUUUCUUGUGGGCUC